GACGAGAGACAGUGGACUGCCUAUAGGGCUAGUAUGCUGUAUCGAGUCUUUUUUUCUAGACGUGCUACUAGCCUUUGCGGGUGUGUAGUGAGGUCUAGGACUUUUACUUUGAAGAAAUUAGAGUGUUUAAGGCAGGCUUGUGCUUGAAUACAUUAGCAUGGAAUAAUAGAAUAAGACUUUGGUUUUAUUUUGUUGGUUAUAAAGCUAAAGUA
rnacentral:rRNA from 1 species